rnacentral:misc_RNA from 1 species
AAGUCGUAACAAGGUUUCCGUAGGUGAACCUGCGGAAGGAUCAUUAUUGAAUGAACUUGACUUGGUUGCUGCUGGUCUUUUCGAAGGCAUGUGCACACUUUGUCAUCUUUAUAUCUCCACCUGUGCACCUUUUGUAGACCUGAAACCAAAUUUCCGAGGCAACUCGGUCGUGAGGAAAUGCUUAACAGCUUUCCUUGUUAGGUUCCAGGGCUAUGUUUUCAUAUACACCAUAAGAAUGUAACAGAAUGUCGUUAUUAGGCUUAGUUGCCUUAUAAACUAUAUACAACUUUCAGCAACGGAUCUCUUGGCUCUC